rnacentral:rRNA from 1 species
GCAGGUUGAAGCGCGGGUAAGACCGCGUGGAGGACCGAACCCACCUGGGUUGAAAACCGGGGGGAUGACCUGGGGCUAGGGGUGAAAGGCCAAUCAAAUUCCGUGAUAGCUGGUUCUCUCCGAAAUGCAUUUAGGUGCAGCGUCGGUUGAUUGCAUCGCGGGGGUAGAGCUACUGGAUGCUUGCGGGCCCGUGUGGGGUACCAAUAGCAGCCAAACUCCGAAUACCGUGGAUGUGUAUUCCGGCAGUGAGUCGGCGGGGGAUAAGCUCCGUCGUCGAGAGGGAGACAGCCCAGAUCGUCGUCUAAGGUCCCGAAGCGUGUGCUAAGUGGGAAAGGAUGUGGAGUCGCAUAGACAGCCAGGAGGUUGGCUCAGAAGCAGCCAUCCUUGAAAGAGUGCGUAACAGCUCACUGGUCUAGUGGUUCCGCGCCGACAAUGUAGCGGGGCUCAAGCACACCACCGAAGACGCGGCAGCGGCCUUUGCGGCCGUUGGGUAGGAGAGCGUCCCGCGUGGGGCGAAGCGGCCGGGGAACCGUGCCGUGGACCGCGCGGGAGUGAGAAUGCAGACAUGAGUAGCGAGAGACGGGUGAGGAUCCCGUCCGCUGGAUGACCAAGGGUUCCGGGGCCACGUUCGUCGUCCCCGGGUGAGUCGGGUCCUAAGGCGAGGCCGACAGGCGUAGUCGAAUGGAUGAACGGGUGGAUAUUCCCGUACCGGCGGCGUACCGUAAGAGCCGAACGGAUGAGUACUAACCUCCGGUCGCGUGGCGUCGUUCCCUUCGGGGUUCGGGGCGCGUGGCUGUUGGGAGCGUAGUCCCGGUAGGCUAGCGCACAGGGGUGACACGGAAUGGGAGCCGGCCGCGGAGGUGGUUUUCCGUGGUCAAGCACGCAGCCCGUCCCAUAGGCAAAUCCGUGGGGCACAUAGGGUGAGGUGUGAUGAUGGGCGUCCUUUGGACGCGAUAUCCGGUGGUCCAGGCCGUCGAGAAAAGCCUCGGCGCGAGGGGCGUCGCCGCCCGUACCCCAAACCGACACUGGUGGUCAGGUAGAGAAUACCAAGGCGAUCGAGCGAAUCCUGGUCAAGGAACUCGGCAAAUCACUCCCGUGCCUUCGGUAUAAGGGAGACCCCCGGGCGUGAAGAGGCUUGCCCUCGGAGCGUUGGGGGGUGGCACAGACCAGGGGGUAGCGACUGUUUACCAAAAACACAGGUGCAUGCGAAGGCGCAAGCCGCUGUAUAUGCACUGACGCCUGCCCGGUGCCGGAAGGUUAAGAGGAUCCGUCAGCCCUUUUUGGGGUGAAGCGGUGAAUUCAAGCCCCGGUAAACGGCGGUGGUAACUAUAACCAUCCUAAGGUAGCGAAAUUCCUUGUCGGGUAAGUUCCGACCUGCACGAAUGGCGUAACGACUUCCCCACUGUCUCGACCAGGAGCUCGGCGAAAUUGCAGUACGAGUAAAGAUGCUCGUUAAGCGCAGAAGGACGAAAAGACCCCGGGACCUUUACUAUACCUUGGUAUUGGCGUUAGGCGCGGAUUGUGUAGCAUAGGCGGGAGGCUUCGAAGCAUGGGCGCCAGCCCGUGUGGAGCCGCAAGGUGAAAUACCGCUCUGUUCUCGUUUGACGUCUAACCUCGAACAGUCAUCCUGUUCAGGGACAGUGCCUGGCGGGUAGUUUAACUGGGGCGGUUGCCUCCCAAAGAGUAACGGAGGCGCUCAAAGGUCCGCUCAGCCCGGUUGGCAAUCGGGUUUCGAGUGUAAUCGCACAAGCGGGCUUGACUGCGAGAACGACGGUUCGGGCAGGGACGAAAGUCGGAGAUAGUGAUCCGGUGCCGGCGCACGGGCGCGGCAUCGCUCAACGGAUAAAAGGUACCCCGGGGAUAACAGGCUGAUCAUUCCCAAGAGUCCAUAUCGACGGGAUGGUUUGGCACCUCGAUGUCGGCUCGUCGCAUCCUGGGGCUGGAGCAGGUCCCAAGGGUUCGGCUGUUCGCCGAUUAAAGCGGCACGCGAGCUGGGUUCAGAACGUCGUGAGACAGUUUGGUCUCUAUCCUCUGCGCUCGUUGGAAUCCUGAGGAGGCCUGCCCAUAGUACGAGAGGACCUGGGUGGACGGACCUCUGGUAUGCCGGUUGUCGCGCCAGCGGCAUGGCCGGUUGGCUACGUUCGGGAGGGAUAACCGCUGAAAGCAUCUAAGCGGGAAGCCUGCUCCAAGAU